rnacentral:rRNA from 1 species
GAGUUGUCCUGGUCAGAUGACGUAGCUACAGGUUAACACAUGAAGUGAGGGGAGAUGAUUAGUUGUAAGUUGUGGCGCCGGCGACGGGUGAGAACGCGUAUCCAACCUGGCCCAUAGUAGGGGAUAGCCCGGCGAAAGUCGGAUUAAUACCCUAUGUUCUCCGACGAUGACAUCUGAGUUGGAGCAAAGAUUCAUCGCUAUGGGAUGGGGAUGCGUCUGAUUAGGUAGUCGGCGGGGUAACGGCCCACCGCGCCGUCGAUCAAUAGGGGUUCUGAGAGGAAGGUCCCCCACAUUGGAACUGAGACAAGGUCCAAACUCCUACGGGAGGCAGCAGUGAGGAAUAUUGGUCAAUGGACGCAGGUCUGAACCAGCCAAGUAGCGUGCAGGAUGACGGCCCUAUGGGUUGUAAACUGCUUUUGGAGGGGAAUAAAGUGCGGGACGUGUCCUGUUUUGUAUGUACCCUCAGAAUAAGGACCCGCUAAUUCCGUGCCAGCAGCCGCGGUAAUAAGGAAGGUCCGGGCGUUAUCCGGAUUUAUUGGGUUUAAAGGGAGCGCAGGCCGUAGAUUAAGCGUGACGUGAAAUGCCGCGGCUCAACCCUGGAAGUGCGUCGCGAACUGGUUUACUUGAGUGAGUUCGACGCCGGCGGAAUUCGUGGUGUAGCGGUGAAAUGCUUGGAUAUCACGAAGAACCCCGAUUGCGAAGGCAGCCGGCGAGGCUUUAUUCACUCUAAAGCGCGAGGUUGCGGUUAUCAAACAGAAUUAGAUACCCUGGUAGCCCGCACGGUAAACGAUGGAUGCCCUCUUUAUGCGAUAUAUUGUAUGCGGCCAAGCGAAAGCUUUAAGCAUCCCACCUGGGGAGUACGCCGGCAACGUUGAAACUCAAAGGAAUUGACGGGGGCCCGCACAAGCGGAGGAACAUGUGGUUUAAUUCGAUGAUACGCGAGGAACCUUACCGGGGCUUGAACUGCAGGAGAGGAUACAGAGAUGUUGACGCUUCGGGGCUCCUGUGGAGGUGCUGCAUGGUUGUCGUCAGCUCGUGCCGUGAGUUGUCGGCUUAAGUGCCAUAACGAGCGCAACCCCUGCCGUCAGUUGCCAUCAGGUGAUGCUGGGCACUCUGUCGGGACUGCCACCGUAAGUUGUGAGGAAGGUGGGGAUGACGUCAAAUCAGCACGGCCCUUACGUCCGGGGCUACACACUUGUUACAAUGGUUGAUACAGAGAGUUGGUGCACGGCGACUUGCAUGGGAUCAUGAAAGUCAUCCUCAGUUGGGACGGGGGUCUGCAACCCGACCCCGCGAAGCUGGAUUCGCUAGUAAUCGCGCAUCAGCCAUGGCGCGGUGAAUACGUUCCGGGGCCUUGUACACACCGCCCGUCAAGCCAUGAAAGCCGGGGGCGCCUGAAGUCCUGACCGCGAGGGCGCCUAGGUGAAACCGUGAUUGGGCUAAGCGUAACAAGUAAC